rnacentral:snRNA from 1 species
AUACUUCUGCAAGAGAAAAAUCUGCAAUUUCCCCAAAUGCGGGAAACUAGACUGCAUAAUUUGUGGUAGUGGGGGAGUGUGUUCAUGCUUUCCCCUU